rnacentral:tRNA from 1 species
UCAGAGAAUAGUUUUAAUGUAAAAUGCCAGCUUUGGGAGCUGGAGAUAAAGGUUUGAUCCCUUUUUUUCUGAGC